UACAGAGGGUGCAAGCGUUAAUCGGAAUUACUGGGCGUAAAGAGCACGUAGGUGGUUGUUCAAGUUGGAUGUGAAAGCCCUGGGCUUAACCUGGGAAGGUCAUCCAAAACUGGACGACUCGAGUACGGUAGAGGGAAGUGGAAUUUCCGGUGUAGCGGUGAAAUGCGUAGAUAUCGGAAGGAACACCAGUGGCGAAGGCGACUUCCUGGACUGAUACUGACACUGAGGUGCGAAAGCGUGGGGAGCAAACAGG
rnacentral:rRNA from 1 species